rnacentral:lncRNA from 10 species
CAAAAAUAUUGAAGUAUUCUACUUGUAAACUUACCGUAUAAUCAGUGUCUUGAUAAAAUAGUAGUUUUUGUUGGUUGAAUCUAAGAAUGUGUUGGACUUGGGUAAAUUUCAGACAUGACCAACAACAAAAAACAAAAGCCCAAUUCCUUAACCUUUCCUGACUGAAACUUCUCAGGAAGAAACCAGUUUUGAAUUGUAUGACAUAAAUAAGAUUGUCUUUUAUUAUAAGUUUUUAAACUAUGUAAUAAAACAUUUGGGGAUAACAUCAGUUGAAUGUGCUACUUUUAAAGCAUUAAACCACUGACAUAAGCCUUCUGUAUUAUAGAAACUUCUGAGUUACCAAAAUUUAGUCUGGUACAGAGCCCUUGAAUAUGUUGUGGUUCCCUCAUUAUGGCCCUUCAUUCCCUUCUGUGUUAAUAGUAAAGCAUGUUGCCUAAUAACUACAACCCUGACCAAAUUUGGGCCUGGAUCUCAUGGGUCACGUGGAGUUUUAAAUACGAUUUUUAAUUUACUUGGGUAAUUGAGCUGAAUCUUUAGUUUUCAGAUUACUUUUUUAAACAGAUAGGCUCUUAGAACAAAUUAUUAAAAACAUAAUACCCCAUUGGAGGGGAAUCUGGAUUAACUACCCACUGUUCCCACCCCCCCCAACUUUUGAAAAAUUUUGGCCAUAUAGAAUGCAUGAAAAAUCAGUAUGAUCUUAUGAGGACUUUAUAGUACUGUAAAUCUUAGGAGCACUUUAGUUGUUUUGUUUGUUUGUUUGUUUUACCAGUCAAAUAGCAGUGGGAGAUUGUAUACCAACUUUAGUGACACUGAUAUUAGUAAGUUCUGAUAACCCACUACCAUCGGACCAGCCUGGAGCACAUUACUUUGGCCAGUGGAAAGUCUCUUGGAGAGACUUUGAGGUUUGUGAUGACAAAUCAUGCUAUCGUUAAAGUUAAAUACAUAUAUAUACACACCUAGAAUAUAAGCAGAAUGGAAAAGUUGGCAGGGAUGAAUUCAAGAACAUUAGAGUGAAUUUUUUUCAUUACAGAAUUGUUAGUUCCUUUAGGAACUUAGUCUCGUAGAUGUAUAUAUUUAAUUAGCAUAACUUGGACAGCACAAGAUUAAUGCUUUAACUUGU